UCUCUGUGUGUUUAUCCGGCUGAGGACCGAAGACUCGAGAAUUUCCUGAUUAGGACUCAGUCUGGUACAUAUUCUAGAUCUUCAUGGAGGAGUUGUGGAUGAGAGGCAGUAAUACUGAUGAUUUCUUGCUAAUGUGACUAGUCCUCUACACAGAGGAAGGAUAUGGGACACGUAUACAGAAACAGAAUGAUUGCCUCAAGGCACCUACUGAUCCAAGCAGCAGCGGAGAAGGACAGCUGAAGAGUGGGAUAAUUACAAGUCCAUUGGCCACAGCCUGUGAAACCAAAAGCCAUAGUGUAGCUGAUAGAGAGAUGGUCUUGUCAUUCAAGGGAGCAGGGAGAACUACCCCAUUAUGCUCCAUUCACCACUUUCGGUCCUGAAUACUUCUCUGCAGCGGUAUACACUGGAAUGCACACUGGAAUGCAGGAGAUCCACAAUCUGUACCCUAUAUGUUUACUCAAUGGCUCACUUCACCAGGACUUUCUUGGGAGCCAGGAACAAUGUUCACGGUAUAAGCAUCCACCUGCUUCUUGCGAUUCAUCCAUGUUGCAAGGGAUGAGAAAUAUUAUGAGAUCUGACUGAUUUGGAAAUGCAUUAUUCCCCUUUCACACAUCACUAGGAUUCUACUAGGGAAACCGGGUUUACACAUACAUAAUACCCAUGAUAAAAAUGACUUCAUGUGAUUGUCACUUUUCCAAGUUACCUAUCUCAUAACCAUUAACAGUAAAGAUACUUUGUUAACUAAUUGGGGAAACAACAUAUAGUAAACAAGAAACAAAACAAGAAUGAGAAAAAUAAGUUACUAUCAUACCAAUAAGCCAAUAAGAAGGGGACCACCGUAUAUCCUGCAGCUGAAGCCACUGUUACAAUAUGACCAUGAUUCUUCUUCAUCAUUGCAGGGAGGA